UCUGCAACCCGACUCCAUGAAGCUGGAUUCGCUAGUAAUCGCGCAUCAGCCACGGCGCGGUGAAUACGUUCCCGGGCCUUGUACACACCGCCCGUCAAGCCAUGGAAGCCGGGAGUGCCUGAAGUGCGUGAGCGCAAGCAGCGCCCUAAGGUAAAACCGGUGACUGGGGCUAAGUCGUAACAAGGUAGC
rnacentral:rRNA from 1 species